AAAAGUGCAACUCCUUGCCUUUAAGAAAUGAAUAAAAACAUUGUGGUGGUCAGUAAAUGUUACUUUUAUAGAGCAAGUGUAGGGAAAUGUACUCACUCCAUUUUGAGUAGAAAAUGCAGACGCACUCAGUCAAUUUCCUUUCCUUAAUUGGGCCCCUGCCGCAGAUUAGGUCUGCUCGUUAGUCAGCAGUUAAAAACAGUGCAGUUAUCACACCUUGGAGGGCUGCUGGACCAAGUGGAUUCACAAGAAUCGUGGCUCCAGCAAGAGAUGUCUCUUGAGACUGAGGAGAUUAUCAAACUUCUUGAAGAAGAUGUACAACAAGACAGAAGAAGAUAUGGGAGGAAGCUGGAGUCAAGAAAUGAAGAAGACUGCAAUGGGCUAAGAAGCAAUCAUGGACUAUGAAUGACUGGGUGAAGGUAAUUUUCAGUGAUAUCUGCAUUGGACAAGGUGAUGAUGCUGGAACGUGAUUGGUGCCGUUCCAGUGAGAGUUGCUGUGGUUAAAUCUUCAAUAAAUGCACAAUAAGUUUACAUUGAAGUUUUAGACUGAUUUCUUAUCCCUUCAAUUGGAAAUGUUUGUCAUUUUCAAAGAUGACAAUGCAUCAUGCCAGAGAGCUAAAACUGUUAAAGCAUUCCUUGGAAAGACUCAUCCAGUCAAUGUCAUGGCCUGCAAAUAGCCCAGAUCUCAACCCUAUUGAAAAAAAAAUGUCCUUGGCAAGGCUGACCUGCUCGGAUGAUCUGGCAACUGCAAUCAGAGUUGGCACCAAAUUGGUGAAGAAUACUCUUAAAGUCCAUGCCUCAGAGACUGCAAGCCGUAAUAAAAGCCAGAGGUGGUGCUACUAAAUUCUAGAUGUGUUUUGAUUGUUAUUUCUCAUAAUUCCAUUAUUAUUUUAAAUUCAGAAUAGUGAU